UUAGAAAAUAAAAAAAGAGUUAUUAAAGAGAAAUUGCAAAAAAAGUUUGCCGCUAUCGGAUCAGAUUUUUCUGAUGUUCGAAAACGAAACUCGAGACACUAAUACUAGUGAAUACAAUACUUACAGCUUUGCGGCGAAGAUACUAGAUCAAAACCAUAAGCAUAUAUGAUGGAGCGGAAGCUUCUAGGGAUAGGAGUAGAGAUCCGUUGAUUCUCAGAAUACCCGGAAAUCUAGGGUUUGAGAGUCCUCCUCUCAGGGCUUUCGCAAAAGCUCUUGGAUUUGUGAAUACUCUUCACAGUGGUUUAUUAAAACCUCUUUAAAUCUUUCGAUUAAUCAAUAUAUCAAAAUAACUGCAUACAAUAGGAGGCUUAAGAAGCCUAUUUAUAAUAAAGCAUAAAACCCUAAAACUAAGAAUAUUCUAGAAUAAUUAUAAUAAAUAAAUUAAGAGAUAAUAAUAAGAGAUAUUUGGAAUAUCUCGCUGCAUCAGGUCUCGCCGGCCAAGAAAAGAUUCGUCCUCGAAUCUUGUAUCUGCGCUGCAUCAGCUCCCGCCGGCCAAGAAAGAUUCGCCCUCGAAUCUUCAGCAGAUUUUUUAGCAAAAGUGAUCUUUGUAGAUCCAUCUUUAUCUCUGUCGGUUGAUUUAGCUCGAUUUUUGCACAAUCCCGGUUUGAUCCGAAAUUUGCACGAACUGUAACUGACCCAAAAUUUGCACGAACCGGAUCUGACCCGAAAAUUGCACGAACCGGAUCUGACCAAAAUUUCGCACAAAUCACCUCCUCGACAGAUGUACAGGUCGGAACUUGCAUGAAACUUACCCAAAUCGGUGGUUUCAUGAUUUCUGCAGAAAACCCGAAUUUUGCACGGAUAUGAUUUCGCCCGAACUUUGCACAAAUAAGAUCUUCUUCAUAAACAUCAUAGAUCGGAUCACCAACAAUUUCUCUGUAGAUCUGGUGGUUCUCCUCUCUCUCGAUAAAAGGACUUUCGUCCAUGAUAGGGUAGAUGCAAUCACUUGCCAUGUGAUAACCAGAAUCGUUCAUUGAUUUAGAAAUCAAAGAGACGCAGCUCUGAUACCAAAUGAUGGAGCGGAAGCUUCUAGGGAUAGGAGUAGAGAUCCGUUGAUUCUCAGAAUACCCGGAAAUCUAGGGUUUGAGAGUCCUCCUCUCAGGGCUUUCGCAAAAGCUCUUGGAUUUGUGAAUACUCUUCACAGUGGUUUAUUAAAACCUCUUUAAAUCUUUCGAUUAAUCAAUAUAUCAAAAUAACUGCAUACAAUAGGAGGCUUAAGAAGCAUAUUUAUAAUAAAGCAUAAAACCCUAAAACUAAGAAUAUUCUAGAAUAAUUAUAAUAAAUAAAUUAAGAGAUAAUAAUAAGAGAUAUUUGGAAUAUCUCGCUGCAUCAGGUCUCGCCGGCCAAGAAAAGAUUCGUCCUCGAAUCUUGUAUCUGCGCUGCAUCAAUAUGGCAACUCGACUCUCUACUUAGAUCUCGUGCUUAGCAACCUAAUAAAUCGUAGAUCUAAGCAUAUCAUUAUUGAGAAGCUCUUAACCUUCCAAUAAUGAUGGUCUAACAUCCUUCC
rnacentral:lncRNA from 1 species